rnacentral:misc_RNA from 1 species
AACACGUGCACGCUGAGCAUGUCUUUCAGGGCAAUACCGCGGCGUCUGGCAGGACCCGCUAUCCAUGGCCGCGCACAGGCAGCCGCCCUCUCGUCCUCGGCGAAGAAAGAUCAGCAACAGAUGGCACCGCUGCUUCAGUUCCCUCAGUUCCAUCCCAUCCCUUUUCCACAAGACAAGUUUCUCUCCAUCAAGUCCCGCUCCCUCGAAACGUACACAAAGGUGCGCGGCGACGUGCUGCAGCGGUGCGCCGAUCUAUGUGCGCAGCUGCAGCGUCGGCAAAAGCAGGCAGGGCAGAGCGGAAGGGGGACGACCGCUGUAGCAGGGCCUGUUGGAGAGGAGACGUCCUCCUCACCGGCCGCCGGCAUAUCGGCGGAGCUGCCGGCCUACCCGUUGACACCCCACCAAGCAGAGGAGCUUCUUCUCUUGACAAAGAAAGUGGAGGACCUCGUCCACUACCAGGGGUUUCUCCUCACAGACGAGCUUGUCUGGCGCAUGUUGCAUCUAUGCAUACAAUGUGGUGCGCCCCAGCUAGCGGUGGACGGGUGGCUGCAGAAGCAUGUAAUCGCUGAGAAGCGUGGCCCGCCCUUCCCGCUCUUUAUCCUCGAGGACUUGGCAGCCACGCUACGCGCCUCCCUACUGCCGCGGCUUCCCGAGAGCGGGGCAAGCCUGGCAUGCAGUAGUGCUGUAAUAGCAACGAGUGCUGGCAGCACAGACGCGAAUCUGAGUAUCGCCUUUGAGGAUGGCCUUGCGGCGGCGCAGCGAUUCCUUCGGCGCCAUCUCCUCCACUCCGGCUGGCCGACAUCUGACGCGGUAACGACUGAGUUCCUUGGCGCGGCCCAAAGGUUCACGACGCACUUGUUGGCGGAGCACGUGUGGCCUGUGUGGCAGGCAUUGGAGGCGAUGAACUUGACGUUCGCCGAUCUACGGGCCAAGAAUAUCGAGGACGAGGAGGAGCAAGAGGCGGCGAACGAUGAGGGAGGGAGCAAGAAGAAACCAGACCGAGGCUCAAGUCACAUGCGCAGAGGAGAGCACGGCACGUAUGCCGCCUGGCUGCCUGACGCGGCUGCACAGACCGUAGCCGUGCGCUCCGCCCUCAUGUCGGUGACGCCGCUCUACUCGUUCCACGCGCCCCCGUCCUCAGCACCGCCUCCCAGCGUUGCCGAGGGCCGGAGAGACUCGUCAAAGUCUGCCAAUACAGCGAGCACACGCGUACACGCGCUUCUCUGCAGUGAUCCGCCAUUCUUCCCGAGCGAGACGGCCGCCAUCGUUGCGCCACUGCGAGCGCUCUUGGAUACGUGGCUGGUUUUGGCCCAGUGCGCGGCCGAGGCGAAGGAUGUGCCGCUGCUGAAGGCACUGCUGCGCACCGUGUGUCUCGGCUUUCUCACGCAUCCGGCGGCGGCCACCGGUGGCGAGCGCGAUGCAGCGGAAACGGAGGACGGAGUGCAACUGCCCCAAGUGUGCGUGAACGAAGAUGCGUGGUGCCAGUACACGGCCCCUGACACGGAGCAGACCAAAGAUCCGGUGCACCAGCGCUCUGCGGAGCUGCACGCUCGCGCAAUGGUGCGCGAGUUUGUUAACGGCAGCCUUUCUGUACUUCAGUACGGACUGCUGUGUGCAGAGCAGGAGGCAGCCCUCUGGCAACUGCAUGACACGUUCGCGUUGAUUUCGGCUGUCGCCGCUUCGUUGCGCAACCUUCAGGAUCCACAAAAGAAGCGAGGCAGUCGCUCAGCCAUCACUGAUGAUGCUAGGCUGCAUCGUAUGUCUGCUGUGGCGCUUGCGCAGCCUUCAUCAGCUGAGGAGGCAGAUGGCCUACUGCGUUUGGCACUGCCAUGUGCGCUCGUGUCGUCUUGCGCGCGAGGACAGCAAGUCGCAGGUGACGGGGAGCACGCGAGUGCCACGACGGCGAUGCACGCCUUUGUCUGCGAUGCUCUCGCACACCCUGCGGAGAGGACAGCGCACCCAUACGCCGAAGCAGGGUUGUAUGUCGCUCUCGCUACUGGUGACGAGGCGCUGCUGGCCCAAGCUGCCACCGCCGAUAUGGCAAUGAACAACUCGGGGGCGGCGCUGCUUCUGCUCCACGCACGCGCGCUGCAUGCAUACCGGCGAGCUGCCACGAGGCUCGCCACCGCGCAUGAGGGGCACGAAGAGGAAGCACCCGAAGAUGACGCUUGGGAGGCGUGGACGGCAUCGUUGCGGCAAGCGGUGUCGCAGGCCACCAGUGGAAGUGGUGACGCGGGCAUACCGCAGGCGCAGCUUGUUGAAACCUGUCUGACAGUUCUCACCCUGGGCGUCGCGAGACGCCAGGCACAGCGAGCAGCUGCCUAUGUGCAGUGCGUUCAGCAGCUCACAACGACAUCGGCCGCGGAGGAGAGCGACGACACGCAGGGUGAUGGCCAUAACUCUUACGGCAAGGCAGAGGCAGAGAAGCAGCGUCGGGAGGCGAUCGAGGUGGGUUGGGCGCAACUCUAUGAUGGCACGGCUGCUUGUACGCAGGACAUGCUGAAGCUAGUGGAGCAACUGUUGGAUGCCUCGUCCUCAGCCGAUGCCACGGUUUCGUGCCUGUCUCCAUUAUCGCUGAGUACCCUCGCUGUACUGACUCGCGUGGGAGUCUACGCGGAGGAAGAGGCACAGGCAAGGACAGCGUCGGCAUCGACCACGAGCGAGGAUCUUUCAAAACCUGCUGGGGUCGCUCCGCCUCCUCUGCCUCUCAGCAUCUCUCUCGACUGUGUCUUGGCGCGGGUGGUGAGAGACACAUGCAUUCGUCUGCGCUGUGCCUCGGCCGCAUCACCGACUGGUGUAGCACCGGCGGCCACGUCUAGCGUUGUUGGAAACUGGGUACAGUGGGUGCUGCUAACGCUGAUGGCCCGGAGAGCAUGGACCGACGUGCUUGCGGUGCUGCGUGCGCUGGAUGGCGAGGCGAGUGGGGGAAGUGCUGCGAAUGCGGCUGGAACUUCGAGCACGCUCCUCUGCAGUACCACGGUUGAUCCCUCCGUGUUCGCCGCGUUGUAUGCACGCGCCGUGGAGGAUGGCGCUGCGAGCGUUUGCGCCUUUCUGCGCCCCCGGCGUGAGCGGCUGUUCUUCUGAGUGGCGUUGUUAGACAACGACUCGCGUUGCUCAACGCGCAAAGAAGCGCGCGCCCUUGCGCACUGUUGCCAAUGUGUGCACCUCCAGGAGACUUCCCGUUCUCCUGUUGACGUUGGCCCAGUCGGACGGCGGAGGAAGAAGAAGGUAGAAGACAGCGUCCUGACAACGAAGCUCAAGAGUAAGAUGGGCGCCUC